GCUGGGUGUGGUGGCACACAUCUGUAGUCCCAGCUGCUAGGGAGGCUGAGGCACGAGGAUCACUUGAACCCAGGAGGAAAGGCACUGAACAACUCAGGGAGACCCUGUCUCUA
rnacentral:sRNA from 1 species